UACCAGCACCCCGAGUGGUCGGGACGUUUAUUGGGCCUAAAGCCUCCGUAGCCGGUUCUACAAGUCUUCCGUUAAAUCCAACUGCUUAACAGGUGGGCUGCAGAAGAUACUAUAGAGCUAGGAGGCGGGAGAGGCAAGCGGUACUCGAUGGGUAGGGGUAAAAUCCGUUGAUCCAUUGAAGACCACCAGUGGCGAAGGCGGCUUGCCAGAACGCGCUCGACGGUGAGGGAUGAAAGCUGGGGGAGCAAACCGG
rnacentral:rRNA from 1 species